rnacentral:tRNA from 1 species
CUUCUCGUAGUGCAGGGUGGCACCGGGGACCUUGAGGGUGCCGGUCGUGGGGGUGGGCAUCACUUGCUCCGAUCGGGUCGGGAAGGCCA